rnacentral:rRNA from 1 species
UACGAAGGUUGCAAGCGUUACUCGGAAUUACUAGGCGUAAAGGGCAGGUAGGUGGUUUGGUAAGUCUAUUGUGAAAGCUCCUGGCUUAACUGGGAGAGGCCAAUGGAUACUACCAAGCUUGAGUAUAGGAGAGGUUACUGGAAUUCCCCAAGUAGCGGUGAAAUGCGCAGAUAUGGGGAGGAACACCAAUGGCGAAAGCAGGUAACUGGACUAUUACUGACACUCAACUGCGAAAGCUAGGGGAGCAAACAGG